UAAUACGUAGGAACCAAGCGUUGUCCGGAUUUACUGGGCGUAAAGGGCGAGUAGGCGGCCUGUUAAGUCUCAUGUGAAAUCUCCCGGCUUAACUGGGAGGGGUCAUGGGAAACUGGUAGGCUUGAGGGCAGCAGAGGAAAGUGGAAUUCCCGGAGUAGUGGUGAUAUGCGUAGAUACCGGGAGGAACACCAGUGGCGAAGGCGGCUUUCUGGGCUGCACCUGACGCUGAGGCGCGAGAGCAUGGGGAGCAAACCGGAUUAGAUACCCGGGUAGUCCAUGCCCUAAACGAUGGAUACUAGGUAUAGGGGGUAUCGACCCCCCCUGUGCCGGAGCUAACGUGUUAAGUAUCCCGCCUGGGGAGUACGGCCGCAAGGCUA
rnacentral:rRNA from 1 species